rnacentral:tRNA from 1 species
AUUUAAAUAGCUUAAAUUUUAAAGUUUAAUAUUGAAGAUAUUGGGAUAAGGGUGACCUUUUUAAAUA